rnacentral:rRNA from 1 species
GUCUAUUAUGAAGUUAUUAAUAGUCUGGCCUGCUCCCUGACUACAAGUUAAAGAGCCGCGGUAAUUUGACCGUGCAAAGGUAGCAUAAUCAUUAGUUUCUUAAUUGGGAACUUGUAUGAAAGGUUUGACAAAGAAAAAGCUGUCUUUAUUAUAAAAAUUGAAUUUAACUUUUAAGUGAAAAGGCUUAAAUAAUUUAGAGGGACGAUAAGACCCUAUAAAGCUUUAUAUAAAAAGUAAUUAAAACUGAGUUUAUAAUAAGAGUUUGAAUUAGUUAUAUAUUUUGUUGGGGUGACAUUAAUAAAAUUAAUAUUAACUGUUAAAAAAUAAUACUUAAAUAAAAGAGUUAAAUCUCUUAGUGAUCCUUAAUUAAAGAUUAAAAGAUUAAGUUACUUUAGGGAUAACAGCGUAAUUUUUCUUGAGAGCCCAUAUCGAAAGAAAAGAUUUCGACCUCGAUGUUGAAUUAAGAUAUCUGUGUAGAGCAGUCGUUACAUAAGAAGGUCUGUUCGACCUUUAAAUUUUUACAUGAUUUGAGUUCAGACCGGCGUGAG